CCUACGGGUGGCAGCAGUGAGGAAUAUUGGUCAAUGGGCGCGAGCCUGAACCAGCCACGUAGCGUGAAGGAUGACUGCCCUACGGGUUGUAAACUUCUUUUAUAAAGGAAUAAAGUGUGGCACGUGUGCCUUUUUGUAUGUACUUUAUGAAUAAGGAUCGGCUAACUCCGUGCCAGCAGCCGCGGUAAUACGGAGGAUCCGAGCGUUGUCCGGAUUUAGUGGGUGUAAAGGGAGCGUAGAUGGGUUGGUAAGUCAGUUGGGAAAGUUGGGGGCUCAACCGUAAAAUUGCAGUUGAUACUGGGAGGCUGGAGUGGGGUAGAGGUAGGCGGAAUUCGGGGUGUAGCGGUGAAAUGCGUAGAUA
rnacentral:rRNA from 1 species